GACUGCGCCGGGUGCCAGGCGGGAGGUGUACCGGCACCGCAAAUGGUUUGUACGGCUCAGAGGCUGCCGGUGGCUCGGGGCAGCGCCUGUUUGCUGCGGUACAACCGGGGGCCAUCUGCCUACACCUGCCCAUGAAUGAGCAAAACACAUGAGGACGAGCUCCUCAGAGCACCCUGGUCCCCGCCAGCAGCUCUGCCCGUCCCAAAGAGAUGGUGGCUGCGUGUGCCUUCGGGUGGGGACCCUGCACCCGCCAUAGCUGCUUCCCUGCGGCUUUGUGAAGGCAUUUCAAUGAGCCUGGAGUCACUGCAGGCACGCAGAAACGGAGGAUUUGGGAGCACAAACCCCCGUGCCUGGGAUGAGGCUCGCAGCAGACCUGCAAACGCCGGGGGUCAGGCACUACCAGUCCGCAUAAGCGGAGUCUCCCACCCACUCUGCCGAAGCACGAAUGACUCCACAGCACGCGGAGCACAUGGUGAUCAACUCCUCAAUCUGUUCUUUUUUUCCCGGCCCCCCACCCCCUUUUAAUUGCUUGUGAUCACUCUCAAGCUUUAACCCAGCCUCGCUGAACGUGAUUCAUCUUGGCUGCUGUUAAGGCAGAAUGGGAAAGUUACAGCGCUGCUCUCCACUGCAUCGACGUGAUAGACCCUGCCCAUGAAAUAAUCUAUAGCUGGCGUUAUGGGGCCAUAUAUCCUCUUGAAUUGCAACACCCUAAAUGCGACAAACAGCCACUUAAUCGAUACGAGUUCAUUCUCCGUUCUCCUUCUUUAUGGAAAAUUGGGCAGACUCCCAACCUGUUUCCAUAGGAACGGGCUGGGAGACUCGGAGAACCACCGGCUGCCGAAGGCCCGGCAUUAACGCAGCCUCGGCGUCUGCUUCGCACUGGCAGAAGCUCCAGCAGCCCCCCGACAUCGCGGCCACGUAAAGCCGAGUCAAUUUGUGCUGGAGAUAAGGAGCUGCCGGCUGAUAACCGGCUUAUGUGUGGGUAUCUGCGUUAUCCCCGCGGAUUUUGGCGGAGGAUGGAGAGGGCUCCUUUUCUCGCCCAGCACCAGCAUCCCGGGAUGCCGGGGCUCAU